UCCGGUUUGGUUGAGAGCACAUGGGUGAUUGGUUGCCCUCUCAGAAAUGGGCUUGGUGAUCCGAUGCAGUCCUUUCAUGGGGGAUGAAGCAUCUCGGCGGCGAUUCCUUGCGCGCCACCCCUCGUUGUGCUGAGCCGAACGACCACCGGGUUUGAACAGGAUGACUCCGCCACUGGGCUAGGGCCUUUUUCGGUUCCUGUGGCUGUCUGUUGUCAGAUUAUCAAAGUACAGAGCUUGAUGAAUCGCAUAAAGAAGUCAGCGACGAUGGAUUCGGCUCUCCAAUGCAGGUUUUGGAUGGUUGUUUUUUUGGAUGUUCUGCGGUUUCUGGACGCCGAUUCGACCUUAUUGGGCGGUUUCAUCUUGCGUAUUCCUCAAAUAUCCUUGCUAUUCUCUUCGUUUGCGUAGCCCUUUUUUGGUUUGACAAGUUUUUUUUUUCCAGGCGAAGGUGAGAUUUUUUCCCCCAUCUUAUUUUUGAACGAAAGGAUCGCAAACACGUAGUUGUUGUCGAUCUGUUUGCCGUUGUUUUCACGCGGAAAAUCCCGACGUUUUUAUGCUCUUUUUUUUAUGAUUAAAAGAAAAUGAAAACAUUCGUGUGUUUGUCAAGAUUAAAUCAUAACUGAAGAGCAUUCCGUGAAUAUUUCUAUAUAGUGUAGUAUGAAGAUGUAUAAGUUUAUCUUAUUUGAUUUGUUAAAUGCGUUCAAGAUGUAGAAUCUGCCAAUUUCUUUCAAGUUGAUGUUAAAUUAGCGGAGAAUGGAUAGAUUGGAUGGUCAAGGAAGGCAGUGUUUUUCAGGGGCUAGGGAUGAGUCCACUUGACAUUGAGUAGUUCAAUAUGUCUUGUCGUCAUGUAAAAUCUUGCAACUAAAUAACAGUGGAAAAUCGUCUCUUAUGAUUUCCAUGGAAAAAAAAAUCCUCUUUAACAUCCUCUAUUUCUUCUUAUCCUACUGGGCCUAUACCGCCUACACUACUCCUGGCUAUGGCUACUGAAAUAUAUUCUCGUUGUGUGUUCAAUUAUCGAACUUUUUGAUUUGACAUCUUGGAGGUUGUGAUUUCAUUUUCUUCUGGAUCAACUAGUGAAAGAAAAUUGAGUCAAACUAGUCAAAACAUCUUUCUGGCUUGUUUACAAUUUGCACUAAACUUUUUGGUACUAUUUCAGGAUUCCAUAACAACCGUACACAUGGAAUCUUACUUUUCCCCACCCAAUUUAUCUUCUAAGGCUGUCCUACUUGCAUCAGUUGCUAGGCUACUCUAUAUCACUCUGUCUUCACAAAAUGGUGGUUCUUGUUUGUUUCUGAAUGAAAGCAAUGUUACGGUUUGUUGAAGUUAUGCAAGACAAGCUAACAGCUGACGGGAGAGUGUUUUUCGGUGAGCUCCUGAUGCUACUAACAUCUAACUUUGCUGUAUACGAGUACAUGAGGCGUGAAAUGUUGUAUUUGGGAAAAAAAGGGCAAUGAGUUAGUUUUUCAUAGAAUAAGGUGAAGCAUUCCAUUGAUGCUGGACUAUUUCCAUAGUGGGUGAUCUUUAGAAUACCCUUAUUCUUCAGUAACAGGUCAAUUUAGUUUUGAAAUCCAUAUGUUUAUCUUAUGAUCAAACAAAUGGUUGUGAUGGAGUAUUAUUCAUUAGGUUGGACUUCAUUAUUACUCUCAGUAUGCUCAUGCUAAGAAGUAUAGAUCUUUCCGACUGCAGUCAUUCAGCUAAUCAUACUGUCCUAACUAUGCAUUACACUGUUCACUUCGUUUUAGAAAUAACAAAUCUUUUCUACAGCGUUGUAAGACCAAUUGAAAAUUGACUUUUACUACUGAAAAUAUAUGCCAUCAGUUGACUUUUCUACAGCGUUGUAAGACCAUGAGUUUGAAUUACCUAGAACGUUCAUAUCGUUUUUUUUUUUUCAAAAACUUCAACAGUUAGCUUUAGAGCUGUGGUGAAUUCUUUGCAAACUUCAACAGUUAGCUUCAAACUUCAACAGUUAGAAUCAUAAAUAUUCCUUGCAAAUUUAAAAAGAACUUUCAGUUUAGGUCUUUUAGCUUUUCAAUGUGAUUUAAUCUUCCUUGUAAAUUAAAAAAUAACUAUCUGACGAUCAUAAAUAUUUAGAUUUUUUAGCAUUUCUUGAACAUUAGUGAUUUAUCUUCAUUUUGAAUACCAAGUUGGAAGCAUGUUGUCAAAGGAAAAAAAAUCAUCUGAAGGUUGAGAACUUUCCGACAAUCAUACUCUUUGGUCUAUUGAGAUGAAGAAUUUGGAGAACAUUAGUGAUGAUAGCUUUAAAGCUGUGGUGUUUCUUAUUUUCAGAUUUUGGGAUGAAGGAGAGAUGAAGAAAGUGCCGGGAGUGGCCCAUGGUGGCAAAAGGCGAAUACGCUCGCUUCCAGGGCCCCCGCCAGUCCGUCCCAGGAUCAACACAGAGGAGGUAAAUCAUCGUGACUAAGAAGACAAGUGACAGGUGGGAUGAGUUUACACGGGUUGCAGGGAUUUACGCACAGCCAGUCCCGAGAUUUGACCCCAAAACCUCAUGUGGCAAUCAACCUGCCACUUACCAACUCAACUAAGCCCAUGGGGGCAUCCAUAACAGGAUGUGUAAUGUAGCCAACAGAAGCCAGGUUGAUACAUACAACGAAGACCAAUAUGCUGGAAACCAAUUGUAUUGCUAUCCUGUACAAUGAUGGUCCAUGACUCAAGCUAACCAAAGGCAUUGAACAUAUUUAAGUAGUAAUUUGUUUAAAGCUUUGGUUACUACUUAAAAAUUCAGGAUGAGUAUGCCACAUGGCAUCCACUUGGAUCAGGGUAAUGAACGGAUAGUAGACAAGGAACGGAAGAUGCUCUGCAGGACCUCUGCCUGGGCACCGUUGAAGUCUGUCGCCGCCAUCAGUUCAGAGAGCUGACCACUGAGUUCACUGACUUCCUUGUGGAGGCUUUUGAUGUAGUUGCAGGUCUCUUUCAGGAGGGUAGCUGCUGAAGCCUGCAUUAGCAGCAAAAAUGGAAGAAGAGGAGAGUGCAAACUCGUUCCUCCAUUUACCUUGUGAACAUUUUGGAACGAGGGAUUUCAAUCGUGACUGCACCACUUCAAAAUCAGAGAGAUGCCGGGCUCUUCUCUUCAAAAUGAUGAGAAAAUGUCAUCUCUGCUUUGGGACAAAUCUUUCAAGUAUAUUUUUUGUACAUUCAUAAUAUGUGUUCAAGAUCUUUUGAAGAGAAAAUGCCAUCUUUGCUCUGUUUCUUUUGUUCUGUUUAUACUUCAUAAUAUGUGUUCAAGUUCUUAUUGUGAAUGCUCACAAAAGACGGUGCAAAUGUAACAUUUUCACCAACAAAACUAUUUUAAAAACAGUUUGAUCUAAUGAAAAUUCUUUAGACAA